UCCAGACCAGUCUUAAAAGAAAGCACAAACCAAAUCCCCUGUACACAUAUACUGACUCAGAGGAUGAGCAGCCUACAAAAAAACGGUUUCCCCAGGCCCCUCGAGUGAAAAUACCAGCCCUCACCACUCCGCAGUCUGCCCCCCAGCCCACUGAUAGCAACCAUCAUAAUGCCCCACCCAGCUUCCGGCACCUUUCGCC